GAUGAAGAACGUAGCGAAAUGCGAUAAGUAAUGUGAAUUGCAGAAUUCAGUGAAUCGUCGAAUCUUUGAACGCACAUUGCGCCCGCCAGUAUUCUGGCGGGCAUGCCUGUUCGAGCGUCAUUACAACCCUCAGGCCCCCGGGCCUGGCGUUGGGGAUCGGCGGAGCCCCCCGUGGGCACACGCCGUCCCCCAAAUGCAGUGGCGGUCCCGCCGCAGCUUCCAUCGCGUAGUAGCUAACACCUCGCGACUGGAGAGCGGCGCGGCCACGCCGUAAAACACCCAACUCUUCUGAAGUUGACCUCGAAUCAGGUAGGAAUACCCGCUGAACUUAAGCAUAUCAAUAAGCGGAGGA
rnacentral:misc_RNA from 1 species